rnacentral:lncRNA from 14 species
CUGAACUGAACUUUUUCCAUUUGAUUGCAGUGUUACAUACUAAACACGCCGUGGAGAAAUGUUCAUUUCUGUGAAGGAGCGCUAGUUUUCGUCAAGGAGAGAAGUCUCAGUCUUGCAAUGGGAGCUGAACUCUGAUCUUCACCUUGAGGGAGGAAGGAGAAGUAGAGGAGGAGGAAGAGGCUGACACCAUGAUUCUUCAGUGGCCUGGAAGAAAUUAGGAUACUAGAGACUCCCCUUGCCUGUCGUGUGUGAAGGCAAAUCCUUCUCAAUCAGUUGUCAUCAGAUAAGCCCAAAAUCAGUUAUUCAAGAUGCUUUGUGUUUCCUGCCACACCCUGGGGCAGAUUGCUUGCUGGCUUUCUGUGAAAAAACCCGGCUACUCUUCGAGUUAACAUAGUGGGAGGUAAGUG